rnacentral:ncRNA from 1 species
UAAAAAGCUAUGAUCGGAAUAAGUAAGAAUCGAAAUCUGACGACAGAGAAUUGCUGGUUGGUGAGAAGCGUAAGUUAAGAGCGAUGAUGAAUACCUCCGUGAGCUGCUGAGAUGAAUUCUUUUUACUACAAGAUAUUAGUUUCAGACGGGGACUGACCGUUAUAUCAGUAGAGUAUCAUUCAUUUUUUGAAUCGUACUUGAUGAGGCGCUUUGCGUGAGCAUAGUGUGAAUGAAGGUGGUAACACGGAUUAUUUCGUCCUUCGC